UACGUAGGGGGCAAGCGUUGUCCGGAUUUAUUGGGCGUAAAGAGCGUGUAGGCGGCCUGGAAGGUCCGUUGUGAAAACUCGAGGCUCAACCUCGAGACGUCGGUUGAAACCGUAUGGCUAGAGUCCGGAAGAGGAGAGUGGAAUUCCCGGUGUAGCGGUGAAAUGCGCAGAUAUCGGGAAGAACACCCGUGGCGAAGGCGGCUCUCUGGGACGGUACUGACGCUGAGACGCGAAAGCGUGGGGAGCGAACAGG
rnacentral:rRNA from 1 species